rnacentral:rRNA from 1 species
GACGAACGCUGGCGGCGUGCUUAACACAUGCAAGUCGAACGGAAAGGCCCUGCUUUUGUGGGGUGCUCGAGUGGCGAACGGGUGAGUAACACGUGAGUAACCUGCCCUUGACUUUGGGAUAACUUCAGGAAACUGGGGCUAAUACCGGAUAGGAGCUCCUGCUGCAUGGUGGGGGUUGGAAAGUUUCGGCGGUUGGGGAUGGACUCGCGGCUUAUCAGCUUGUUGGUGGGGUAGUGGCUUACCAAGGCUUUGACGGGUAGCCGGCCUGAGAGGGUGACCGGCCACAUUGGGACUGAGAUACGGCCCAGACUCCUACGGGAGGCAGCAGUGGGGAAUAUUGCACAAAGGGCGGAAGCCUGAUGCAGCAACGCCGCGUGCGGGAUGACGGCCUUCGGGUUGUAAACCGCUUUCGCCUGUGACGAAGCGUGAGAGACGGUAAUGGGUAAAGAAGCACCGGCUAACUACGUG